AACGAACGCUGGCGGCAGGCCUAAAACAUGCAAGUCGAACGAACCGCAAGGUUAGUGGCGCACGGGUGAGUAACACGUGGGAAUGUGCCUCUGGGUACGGAACAACGUCGGGAAACUGACGCUAAUACCGUAUAAUGUCUACGGACCAAAGAUUUAUCGCCCAGAGAUCAGCCCGCGUCUGAUUAGCUAGUUGGUGAGGUAACGGCUCACCAAGGCGACGAUCAGUAGCUGGUCUGAGAGGAUGAUCAGCCACACUGGAACUGAGACACGGUCCAGACUUCUACGGGAGGCAGCAGUUAGGAAUAUUGGACAAUGGGGGAAACCCUGAUCCAGCCAUGCCGCGUGUGUGAAGAAGGCCUUAGGGUUGUAAAGCACUUUCGGCUGUGAAGAUAAUGACAGUAGCAGAAGAAGAAGCUCCGGCUAAAUUCGUGCCAGGAGCCGCGGUAA
rnacentral:rRNA from 1 species